AACACGUAUCCAACCUGCCUCAUACUCGGGGAUAGCCUUUCGAAAGAAAGAUUAAUAUCCGAUAGCAUAUACUUCCCGCAUGGGUUUUAUAUUAAAGAAAUUCGGUAUGAGAUGGGGAUGCGUUCCAUUAGUUUGUUGGGGGGGUAACGGCCCACCAAGACUACGAUGGAUAGGGGUUCUGAGAGGAAGGUCCCCCACAUUGGAACUGAGACACGGUCCAAACUCCUACGGGAGGCAGCAGUGAGGAAUAUUGGUCAAUGGACGCGAGUCUGAACCAGCCAAGUAGCGUGAAGGAUGACUGCCCUAUGGGUUGUAAACUUCUUUUAUAUGGGAAUAAAGUUGUCCACGUGUGGAUUUUUGUAUGUACCAAUAUGAAUAAGGAUCGGCUAACUCCGUGCCAGCAGCCGCGGUAAUACGGAGGAUCCGAGCGUUAUCCGGAUUUAUUGGGUUUAAAGGGAGCGUAGGCGGAUUGUUAAGUCAGUUGUGAAAGUUUGCGGCUCAACCGUAAAAUUGCAGUUGAUACUGGCAGUCUUGAGUGCAGUAGAGGUGGGCGGAAUUCGUGGUGUAGCGGUGAAAUGCUUAGAUAUCACGAAGAACUCCGAUUGCGAAGGCAGCUCACUGGAGUGUAACUGACGCUGAUGCUCGAAUGUGUGAGUAUCAAACAGGAUUAGAUACCCUGGUAGUCCACACAGUAAACGAUGAAU
rnacentral:rRNA from 1 species